GACGAACGCUGGCGGCGUGCUUAACACAUGCAAGUCGAACGAAGAGCGAUGGAAGCUUGCUUCUAUCAAUCUUAGUGGCGAACGGGUGAGUAACGCGUAAUCAACCUGCCCUUCAGAGGGGGACAACAGUUGGAAACGACUGCUAAUACCGCAUACGAUCUAAUCUCGGCAUCGAGACUGGAUGAAAGGUGGCCUCUAUUUAUAAGCUAUCACUGAAGGAGGGGAUUGCGUCUGAUUAGCUAGUUGGAGGGGUAACGGCCCACCAAGGCGAUGAUCAGUAGCCGGUCUGAGAGGAUGAACGGCCACAUUGGGACUGAGACACGGCCCAGACUCCUACGGGAGGCAGCAGUGGGGAAUCUUCCGCAAUGGACGAAAGUCUGACGGAGCAACGCCGCGUGAGUGAUGACGGCCUUCGGGUUGUAAAGCUCUGUUAAUCGGGACGAAAGGCCUUCUUGCGAACAGUUAGAAGGAUUGACG
rnacentral:rRNA from 1 species